AUUGAACGCUAGCGGGAGGCUUUACACAUGCAAGUCGAACGAGCGGCGGACGGGUGAGUAAUAUCUGGGAACGUGCCCGAUAGCGGGGGAUAACUACUCGAAACAGUAGCUAAUACCGCAUACUAUUGGAUGUGCCCAUAUGGGAUUAGCUAGUUGGGGGGGUAAAGGCUCACCAAGGCAACGAUCCCUAGCUGGUUUGAGAGGAGGACCAGCCACACGGGGACGGAGACACGGGCCAGACUCCUACGGGAGGCAGCAGUGGGGAAUAUUGCACAAUGGGCGCAAGCCUGAUGCAGCCAUGCCGCGUGUAUGAAGAAGGCCUUCGGGUUGUAAAGUACUUUCAGCGGGGAGGCGUUACCCGCAGAAGAAGCACCGGCUAACUCCGUGCCAGCAGCCGCGGUAAUAC
rnacentral:rRNA from 1 species